CUCGGCACAGUGUCCUCAGGGCUCAUCCGUGUCAUAGCAAGCGUCUGACUUUCCUUCCCCUUCCGGGCUGGGUAACGGCCCUUCAUGUGGAUAGACCGCGUUUUAUUCACUCAUCUGGCAACGGUCCUUUUGGCUGUUGUGAAUAAUGUGGCUGUGAACGUUUACGUCUUGUUCUGUUCAAAGCAAAACACACAUUUUCAUUCUUUCAAAAAUGUCCUUAUGUUUCCUGUCCAAUGCCCUGGACUCAGGAUUUGGGGGAGCCGGUCAUUAUAUCACACCCGGGGUUUCCGCUGGAAAGAGCCUCAAGCCGUAUGUGCUCUCCCGACGCCAUCCUCCCCAUAGUUGAUUGUUCAGAAUUUUUUCUCUUUGGAGGACUGGGGGGUCUCUCUAGCCUGGCCAUCCCGAGUCCAAGUUUCUUUUCCCUGACAACAGACAAACAAGCGAGUAGCCCUCUCAGUCCACGAGCUGAGCCUUCGGAGGCUGGGGUUGCAAACCCUGAUCCUUGGUGGGCUGGGGUCGGCCUCUGGGAGCCCCUCCUUCAGAGUGAGGGGCUGGUGCAGGUUUUCUCUUCUCCUCACCUGAGAGCUUUUUCUGCUGCCCGAGAGAAGAGGGCGAAGGCUCCAUGGCUCUGCAGGAGUCCGGUAAAGAGGAUGGGAUGCCGGCUCCUGAGCCCACCGACGGCCCCGUCCAGCGCUGACCUGUGGGAAAACGGCCUCUUGGCAGGGCUGUGGCCAGGCAGAAUAUUGAAGCAGAAGGAGCCAGACAGUAGCCGCUCUCUCAGGGUCUAACGCAACAGAGAGCUCACCAGGUGUGGCCGCAAGACUGGCAGCAGAAAGGCACUUUUGUAAGAAGAGGGAUGGGAGAAGCACAGAGGUGGACCUGGAAAAGUCAAAGAGAAGCUGUGGAUGGAAGCUCCGGAUGGCUGACCCCGAGUUCCAGCUCAAAAGAACAGAGAUGUGUGGGGUGGGAAACGCAGUGGAAAGAGCGGCCCGUGAACGAGGGUCCUCGGCAGCAGGACCGCCCUCCUCAUGGACAGAUGGCAAGUGCUGGGGAGGAGGUGGAGGAACGAGCCUGUCACCACCAGUGGGAACGUGGGCGGGUGCAGCCACUGUGCAAAACAGCCGUUCAUUCCUCAGAUAACAGGCACGGACUUCCCACACGACCCAGCGAUCCACACCUAGAUGUAGCCAAAGAGAACCAGAAACACGUCCCCAGUAAUACUUGUACCUGGUGUUAUUCAUAAUAGCCAAAAAGUGGAAACAGCCCCAAGUUCAUCAACAGACAAGAAAAUGUGGUACAUCUACCAGGCGCAGUGGCUCACGCUUUAAUCCCAGCACUUUGGGAGGCCGAGGCAGGCAGAUCACCUGAGGUCAGGAGUUGAAGACCAUCCUGGCCAACAUGAUGAAACCCCGUCUCUACUAAAAAUACAAAAAUUAUCUGAGCGUGGUGGCAGGCACCUGUAAUCCCAGAUACUCGGGAGGCUGAGGCAGGAGAAUCGCUUGAACUCAGGAGGCGGAGGUUGCAGUGAGCCGAGAUUGCACCAUUGCCCUCCAGAAUGGGUGACACAGUGAGAUUCUGCCUCAAACAAACAAACAAACCAACAAAAAAGUGGUACAUCUGUGCAGCGAUAUUAUGUGAAAAUAAAAAGGAAUGAAGCUCUGUC